rnacentral:rRNA from 1 species
CUACGGGGUGCACCAGUCGGGAAUAUUGCGCAAUGGAGGAAACUCUGACGCAGUGACGCCGCGUAUAGGAAGAAGGUUUUCGGAUUGUAAACUAUUGUCGUUAGGGAAGAUAAAAGACAGUACCUAAGGAGGAAGCUCCGCCUAACUACGUGCCAGCAGCCGCGGUAAUACGUAGGGAGCAAGCGUUAUCCGGAUUUAUUGGGUGUAAAGGGUGCGUAGACGGGAAGACAAGUUAGUUGUGAAAUCCCUCGGCUUAACUGAGGAACUGCAACUAAAACUAUUUUUCUUGAGUGUUGGAGAGGAAAGUGGAAUUCCUAGUGUAGCGGUGAAAUGCGUAGAUAUUAGGAGGAACACCGGUGGCGAAGGCGACUUUCUGGACAAUAACUGACGUUGAGGCACGAAAGUGUGGGGAGCAAACAGGAUUAGAUACCCUGGUAGUC